GGGGAUAUAGCUCAGUGGUAGAGCAUCUGCUUAGCAUGCACAAGGUUCUGGGAUUGAUUCCUAAUGUAUGUA
rnacentral:tRNA from 1 species